GAUGAACGCUGGCGGCGUGCCUAAUACAUGCAAGUCGAGCGAACAGAUGAGGAGCUUGCUCCUCUGACGUUAGCGGCGGACGGGUGAGUAACACGUGGAUAACCUACCUAUAAGACUGGGAUAACUACGGGAAACCGGAGCUAAUACCGGAUAAUAUAUUGAACCGCAUGGUUCAAUAGUGAAAGACGGUUUUGCUGUCACUUAUAGAUGGAUCCGCGCCGCAUUAGCUAGUUGGUAAGGUAACGGCUUACCAAGGCAACGAUGCGUAGCCGACCUGAGAGGGUGAUCGGCCACACUGGAACUGAGACACGGUCCAGACUCCUACGGGAGGCAGCAGUAGGGAAUCUUCCGCAAUGGGCGAAAGCCUGACGGAGCAACGCCGCGUGAGUGAUGAAGGUCUUCGGAUCGUAAAACUCUGUUAUUAGGGAAGAACAAAUGUGUAAGUAACUAUGCACGUCUUGACGGUACCUAAUCAGAAAGCCACGGCUAACUACGUGCCAGCAGCCGCGGUAAUA
rnacentral:rRNA from 1 species